AUUGAACGCUGGUGGCAGGCCUAACACAUGCAAGUCGAACGAGUGGCGGACGGGUGAGUAAUGUCUGGGAAACUGCCUGAUGGAGGGGGAUAACUACUGGAAACGGUAGCUAAUACCGCAUACCAUCCGCGGUGCCCAGAUGGGUGUAGCUAGUUGGUGGGGUAACGGCUCACCAAGGCGACGAUCCCUAGCUGGUCUGAGAGGAUGAACGGCAACACUGGAACUGAGACACGGUCCAGACUCCUACGGGAGGCAGCAGUGGGGAAUAUUGCACAAUGGGCGCAAGCCUGAUACAGCCAUGCCGCGUGUAUGAAGAAGGCCUUCGGGUUGUAAAGUACUUUCAGCGGGGAGGCGUUAGCCGGAGAAGAAGCACCGGCUAACUCCGUGCCAGCCGCCGCGGUAAUAG
rnacentral:rRNA from 1 species